rnacentral:rRNA from 1 species
GACAGAGGGUGCAAACGUUGUUCGGAUUUACUGGGCGUAAAGCGCGUGUAGGCGGCUUUGCAAGUCGGAUGUGAAAUCCCACGGCUCAACCGUGGAAGUGCAUCCGAAACUGCAUCGCUGGAGUCUCGGAGAGGAAGGUGGAAUGCUUGGUGUAGAGGUGAAAUGCGUAGAUAUCGGGAGGAACACCUGUGGCGAAAGCGGCGCACUGGACCACAUCUGACGCUGAGGCGCGAAAGCUAGGGGAGCAAACAGG